rnacentral:lncRNA from 1 species
CUGCAGCCUCGUAUAGCAGAUCCCAAGUUACUGGAGUUGAAGACCCAUUCGGGCUUCCACGGCUAGACCCUUGUCUACAACCUCACCUGCGUCCAACUACACAUAGCGUUGAUUGAGGCGAUCCAAACAAAACUCAACCUUGCAAAUCAGGCAAAAAACCCAAGAGCCGAACAUUAGCCCCAAAAAACAUAAUCACAAAAACCAGCUGGUUGUUCUACUUUAAAAAGAAACAUAAAAGAAGCAAUACCUUAAUUUUUUUGGUGCCAGUAAUCUUCUUCAUCGCUCUCUGUCUCAGUAGAGCCAACCACAGACUCGACAAGA